rnacentral:lncRNA from 1 species
ACAGAUUGUGGUCUGGAUUCAGAAGAUUCUGAAAGAAGGGGAUGGCAGCCAUGCUGUUUUGUUUGUAGCCCCUGACCUGAAAAUGAAAUUUCUAAUGAGACAACAAAUCACAUUUGAAAUUGUAUUCAAGGUUGUUGUUCCCACAGUUAUGGCCAAAACAAUCACUGUGGUUCUGGCUUUCAAAGUCACAGAACCUGGAAGAAGGUUGAGGAACUUCCUGGUAUCAGGUGCACCCAACCACAUUAUCCCCAUAUGUUCCUUAUUACAAUGUAUUCUGUGUGCAAUCUGGCUUGCAGUUUCUCCUCCCUUUGUUGAUAUUGAUGAACACUCUGAGCAUGGCCACACCAUCAUUGUGUGCCACAAGGGCUUAGUUACUGCAUUCUCCUGAGUUCUGGGAUACUUGGACUGCCUGGCCCUUGGAAGCUGCACAGUGGC